GUUCAUUGGGCGGCCUGGCUAUACUGCCAGUCGAACGAGUUCUGAUUAUUGAAAGGUGCUUGCAUCUUGAUUUAAUUUUGAACGAGUGGCGGACGGGUGAGUAACACGUGGGUAACCUGCCCUUAAGUGGGGGAUAACAUUUGGAAACAGAUGCUAAUACCGCAUAAAUCCAAGAACCGCAUGGUUCUUGGCUGAAAGAUGGCGUAAGCUAUCGCUUUUGGAUGGACCCGCGGCGUAUUAGCUAGUUGGUGAGGUAACGGCUCACCAAGGCAAUGAUACGUAGCCGAACUGAGAGGUUGAUCGGCCACAUUGGGACUGAGACACGGCCCAAACUCCUACGGGAGGCAGCAGUAGGGAAUCUUCCACAAUGGACGCAAGUCUGAUGGAGCAACGCCGCGUGAGUGAAGAAGGCUUUCGGGUCGUAAAACUCUGUUGUUGGAGAAGAAUGGUCGGCAGAGUAACUGUUGUCGGCGUGACGGUAUCCAACCAGAAAGCCACGGCUAACUACGUGCCAGCAGCCGCGGUAAUACGUAGGUGGCAAGCGUUAUCCGGAUUUAUUGGGCGUAAAGCGAGCGCAGGCGGUUUUUUAAGUCUGAUGUGAAAGCCCUCGGCUUAACCGAGGAAGUGCAUCGGAAACUGGGAAACUUGAGUGCAGAAGAGGACAGUGGAACUCCAUGUGUAGCGGUGAAAUGCGUAGAUAUAUGGAAGAACACCAGUGGCGAAGGCGGCUGUCUGGUCUGUAACUGACGCUGAGGCUCGAAAGCAUGGGUAGCGAACAGGAUUAGAUACCCUGGUAGUCCAUGCCGUAAACGAUGAAUGCUAGGUGUUGGAGGGUUUCCGCCCUUCAGUGCCGCAGCUAACGCAUUAAGCAUUCCGCCUGGGGAGUACGACCGCAAGGUUGAAACUCAAAGGAAUUGACGGGGGCCCGCACAAGCGGUGGAGCAUGUGGUUUAAUUCGAAGCAACGCGAAGAACCUUACCAGGUCUUGACAUCUUUUGAUCACCUGAGAGAUCAGGUUUCCCCUUCGGGGGCAAAAUGACAGGUGGUGCAUGGUUGUCGUCAGCUCGUGUCGUGAGAUGUUGGGUUAAGUCCCGCAACGAGCGCAACCCUUAUGACUAGUUGCCAGCAUUUAGUUGGGCACUCUAGUAAGACUGCCGGUGACAAACCGGAGGAAGGUGGGGAUGACGUCAAAUCAUCAUGCCCCUUAUGACCUGGGCUACACACGUGCUACAAUGGAUGGUACAACGAGUUGCGAGACCGCGAGGUCAAGCUAAUCUCUUAAAGCCAUUCUCAGUUCGGACUGUAGGCUGCAACUCGCCUACACGAAGUCGGAAUCGCUAGUAAUCGCGGAUCAGCACGCCGCGGUGAAUACGUUCCCGGGCCUUGUACACACCGCCCGUCACACCAUGAGAGUUUGUAACACCCGAAGCCGGUGGCGUAACCCUUUUAGGGAGCGAGCCGUCUAAGGUGACAAAAGUA
rnacentral:rRNA from 1 species